AGAGUUUGAUCAUGGCUCAGAGCGAACGCUGGCGGCAGGCUUAACACAUGCAAGUCGAACGGGCGUAGCAAUACGUCAGUGGCAGACGGGUGAGUAACACGUGGGAACGUACCCUUUGGUUCGGAACAACACAGGGAAACUUGUGCUAAUACCGGAUAAGCCCUUACGGGGAAAGACUUAUCGCCGAAGGAUCGGCCCGCGUCUGAUUAGCUUGUUGGUGAGGUAAUGGCUCACCAAGGCGACGAUCAGUAGCUGGUCUGAGAGGAUGAUCAGCCACACUGGGACUGAGACACGGCCCAGACUCCUACGGGAGGCAGCAGUGGGGAAUAUUGGACAAUGGGCGCAAGCCUGAUCCAGCCAUGCCGCGUGAGUGAUGAAGGCCCUAGGGUUGUAAAGCUCUUUUGGCGGGGAAGAUAAUGACGGUACCCGCAGAAUAAGCCCCGGCUAACUUCGUG
rnacentral:rRNA from 1 species